rnacentral:rRNA from 1 species
GACGAACGCUGGCGGCAGGCCUAAUACAUGCAAGUCGAACGCACCGCAAGGUGAGUGGCAGACGGGUGAGUAACGCGUGGGAACCUUCCUAAUAGUACGGAAUAACUUCGGGAAACCAAAGCUAAUACCGUAUACGCCCUUCGGGGGAAAGAUUUACCGCUAUUAGAUGGGCCCGCGUUGGAUUAGCUAGUUGGUAGGGUAAUGGCCUACCAAGGCUACGAUCCAUAGCUGGUCUGAGAGGAUGAUCAGCCACACUGGGACUGAGACACGGCCCAGACUCCUACGGGAGGCAGCAGUAGGGAAUAUUGGACAAUGGGCGAAAGCCUGAUCCAGCCAUGCCGCGUGAGUGAAGAAGGCCUUAGGGUUGUAAAGCUCUUUUGGCGGGGACGAUAAUGACGGUACCCGCAGAAUAAGCCCCGGCUAACUUCGUGCCAGCCGCCGCGGUAACAC